CAGUAGCGUAUAUUAAAGUUGUUGCAGUUAAAAUGCUCGUAGUUGAAGUUCGGAUGCAGCAGAGCUUGGAAACGCUGUUAUGGUGCUUCCGUUGCUUUUGCUUGUCCACAGUGCGUUGCAAGUACGUAUGUGCUUGUGCGUGCAUUGUACUUUGAGAAACAUAGGGUGUUCCACGCAUGUUACGGCAUGAAUAUUCCAGCAUGGGAUAAUCUGGUACGACUUCCAAUCUGCCAUUUUGGUUCGUAGGUUGGAAGUAAUGAUUAAUAGGGACUGUCGGGGGCAUUGGUAUUUGACUGUCAGAGGUGAAAUUCUUAGAUUCGUUGAGGACCAACCACUGCGAAAGCAUUUGUCAAGGAUGUCUCCAUUAA
rnacentral:rRNA from 1 species